rfam:Ancylostoma duodenale strain Zhejiang A_duodenale-1.0_Cont3009.2, whole genome shotgun sequence.
CCAGCGGCCCUCCUAAGGGCCACAGGAAGUUUCGAAUACUAUUAUG